rnacentral:rRNA from 1 species
GACGAACGCUGGCGGCGUGCCUAAUACAUGCAAGUCGAGCGAUGAAGCUUGGUGCUUGCACCAAUUUGAAGAGCAGCGAACGGGUGAGUAACGCGUGGGGAAUCUGCCUUUGAGCGGGGGACAACAUUUGGAAACGAAUGCUAAUACCGCAUAAUAACUUUAAACAUAAGUUUUAAGUUUGAAAGAUGCAAUUGCAUCACUCAAAGAUGAUCCCGCGUUGUAUUAGCUAGUUGGUGAGGUAAAGGCUCACCAAGGCGAUGAUACAUAGCCGACCUGAGAGGGUGGGCGGCCACAUUGGGACUGGGACACGGCCCAAACUCCUACGGGAGGCAGCAGUAGGGGAUCUUCGGCAAUGGGCGGAAGUCUGACCGCGCAACGCCGCGUGAGUGAAGAAGGUUUUCGGGUCGUAAAACUCUGUUGGUAGAGAAGAACGCUGGUGAGAGUGGAAAGCUCAUCAAGUGACGGUAACUACCCAGAAAGGGACGGCUAACUACGUG